UUCCGGUUGAUCCUGCCGGACCUGACUGCUAUCGGAUUGAUACUAAGCCAUGCGAGUCUUUGCAGUAAUGCAAGGCAUACGGCUCAGUAACACGUAGUCAACUUACCCUAUGGACGAGGAUAAUCUCGGGAAACUGAGCAUAAUACUCGAUAGAUCAUAAUAUCUGGAAUGGUUUAUGGUUGAAAUGAUUCGUCGCCAUAGGAUGGGACUGCGGCCUAUCAGCUUGUUGGUGAGGUAAUGGCCCACCAAGGCGAUUACAGGUACGGGCUCUGAGAGGAGAAGCCCGGAGAUGGGUACUGAGACAAGGACCCAGGCCCCAUGGGGCGCAGCAGGCGAGAAAACUUUGCAAUGUGCGAAAGCACGACAAGGUUAAUCCGAGUGAUUUCUGCUAAAGAAAUCUUUUGCAAGUCAUAAAACCACUAGUGAAUAAGGGGUGGGCAAGUUCUGGUGUCAGCCGCCGCGGUAAAACCAGCACCUCAAGUGGUCAGGAGGAUUAUUGGGCCUAAAGCAUCCGUAGCCGGCUCUGUAAGUUUUCGGUUAAAUCCAUGUGCUCAACGCAUGGGCUGCCGAAAAUACUGCAUAGCUAGGGAGUGGGAGAGGUAGACGGUACUCGGUAGGAAGGGGUAAAAUCCUUUGAUCUAUCGAUGACCACCUGUGGCGAAGGCGGUCUACCAGAACACGUUCGACGGUGAGGGAUGAAAGCUGGGGGAGCAAACCGGAUUAGAUACCCGGGUAGUCCCAGCCGUAAACGAUGCAGACUCGAUGAUGCAUUGGCAUAUAGCCAGUGCAGUGUCGCAGGGAAGCCGUUAAGUCUGCCGCCUGGGAAGUACGUACGCAAGUAUGAAACUUAAAGGAAUUGGCGGGGGAGCACCACAAGGGGUGAAGCCUGCGGUUCAAUUGGAGUCAACGCCGGG
rnacentral:rRNA from 1 species